AAAAAAAGGCAAGAACAAAUAUGGUAAAGCAAAGUUGAUUCUUUGAAUUCAGGAAAACUAAAAGGAGAAGGAAAGAUUUGAAAUUCCAUAGGUUCAGCUGUAAGAAAAGAUUUCUAGCGGAUUAUCGCAGCUCUGAGCUCGGAAGCCAUGGGAGCCUUGCUUAGCUUCAAAAUCCAGAGCUGGGUAACGCCAAAACAGCAAAAAAAAGGUUUUGAAGAGUCUGUCAGACAGCCAUUAGACCAUCUCAGGCACCAUUAUUGGAGCUGAGAACGAUCAUCUACUGCGCCAUGACCACAACGGCCAUGGGUGCUGUUAAUCACGCUCUAGUCUAAUGGCCAUGAUUCAUCCACCAGACUUGGUUUCCUGUCUCCUUAGAAAUCAAGGAUACAGUGGUACGAGCCUAUAGAACAGAUCCUGUUCAAGUAAGGUCGUGCCCGUACUUCUCACCUCACUUGAUUAAGUAGUAUUCUCACCCUCAGUGUGUCGCCGAUGUGGGACGAAUAGAAAUUUUUCUACUAUUUUGAAGUAAAGUUAACCGUUGAUGUUAUAAAUUUCUACCUCCUAUUGAAGAUUUGAGAAAUUCCCAAUGAUGGGAAAGAGGAGAAAUUUGGUGUUAAAUGGGUUGUCUGAAUUGUAAAGGAAAUGCCGGAAAGAAUUCUCUAUAUAUUUGUUUGUGUGAAAUUGGAAGAGUUAGCUUUGAAUGUUGUUCUUCAUUCUUUAUUAGUUUGCAUAUUUUUUUUAUUGAUGUUCUUUCAGCUAAAUGAUGAGAUGAAGAAAAUGGUUGAACAGCUAAAAGAAAAGAAGAAAGAGAGACAGGAUUAAGCUCUCCUUGAAAGCAAGCUCUUCUGUUGUAUGCUUCAAUCCUUGUUGGGAAAGAAGAGCAAGACACUUAUUUUGCUUGUAUCUCUGUAGAGCGGAAAAAUGAUUCUUCCUUUCAACCUUCAAUGGCCUAUUCUACAGCUUUUAUGUUCAGCCUUGUUUAUACAUCCUCUGUCCAUGUUAAUGUGCAUGAGAACGAUGAAUAUCAUGUGGUUCGUAUGUAUAGAACUCUUUGUGUUGCAACUCACAUGGAACUAUGUUAAUGCCUCUUUAAAUGAACCUUACAAUUAUAAUCAAUGGGGUGCCGUUUUGCUGCCACUUUUAUGUCAUAAUUACUCGGAGAACUUACUUGAUCAAAAUUACUCAGAGAACUUAGUUGCUGUGUUUUUGCCAAAACCAUUCAGUAAGUUAAGCAGAGAGGUGGCAACAAUUCCAUUUGAAUUCUCAAUGUUUAAAUCAACAAAAUUCAAGGAUUAUAUGUGAGGCUCUCUUUCCAUGUGUAAUUGAUUUAGUUGUUGAAGCACAAUUUUAUAAUCAAAAGAAGUUCAUCCUUUCAUAUUUCAUGUUAUAUUCAAAGAGAAUUGAAUAUAGGCUUUGUUAAUUUUCCUUCUCUAUUUCCAAACAGAAAAGGUUAGGAGAGUUAUGCCAUUUUGAGUAAUUCUCCCACAUCUGCAUCUAAGAGUAAAGUGUAGCAAAAACAGGUAGUAUUAGUAAUGGGCUGAGCUAACUGGGGAACAUACUUACCUGGACGGGGUCAAUGGACGAUCAAUAAGACCUAUGGCCUAGGCUUGUGACCUCCAUUGCACUUUGGAGGGGUGCCUGCCUAAGGUCGGCCCAAG